rnacentral:rRNA from 1 species
CCUACGGGGGCUGCAGUGGGGAAUAUUGGACAAUGGGCGAAAGCCUGAUCCAGCCAUGCCGCGUGUGUGAAGAAGGCCUUCGGGUUGUAAAGCACUUUCAGUGGGGAAGAAAGCCUUGGGGCUAAUACCCUCGAGGAAGGACAUCACCCACAGAAGAGGCACCGGCUAACUCCGUGCCAGCAGCCGCGGUAAUACGGAGGGUGCGAGCGUUAAUCGGAAUUACUGGGCGUAAAGCGCGCGUAGGCGGUCUGAUAAGCCGGUUGUGAAAGCCCCGGGCUCAACCUGGGAACGGCAUCCGGAACUGUCAGGCUAGAGUGCAGGAGAGGAAGGUAGAAUUCCCGGUGUAGCGGUGAAAUGCGUAGAGAUCGGGAGGAAUACCAGUGGCGAAGGCGGCCUUCUGGACUGACACUGACGCUGAGGUGCGAAAGCGUGGGUAGCAAACAGGAUUAGAUACCCCAGUAGUC